rnacentral:rRNA from 1 species
UACGUAGGGAGCAAGCGUUGUCCGGAUUUAUUGGGCGUAAAGAGCUCGUAGGCGGUUCAGCAAGUCGGGUGUGAAAACUCUGGGCUCAACCCAGAGACGCCACCCGAUACUGCUGUGACUAGAGUCUGGUAGGGGAUCGCGGAAUUCCAGGGUGUAGCGGUGAAAUGCACAGAUAUCUGGAGGAACACCAGCAGCGAAGGCGGCGAUCUGGGCCAGUACUGACGCUGGAGGAGCGAAAGCGUGGGGAGCGAACAGG